UCCCUGGCAUGUGGCAUGUGGAAGUGGCUUUCAGGCUAGUCACUGCACAGACUGGUAAGGCCUCUCUCAUGCUCCCUGCUCUGUGCAGCUGAUGCUCCGGUCUCAAGAUCCCAGCUGAGCAUCAAUGUGAAGCUGAAAGUUAGUUCAGACCUUAAAGAGGAACAAGUCAGAGAGAAGGUACCUGUCCUUUCUGUCCCUCAUGAGAGAGCCCAGUAAACAAAAUAAUAAACAAGAAGAGCCCCUCCUCCACCCUUCAGAUGACAGCUUUGACACCAGAACAGGCCUGGCAUCACUGGCCCAUACCCCCUCCUGAGAAGCUGAACCAGGAGAAUGGGAGUUCAACACCUGCCUGGACUACAAAGUAAGCACAAAGCCAACCCAUGCAACUCAGCAAAGCCCUUCCAUAAUAUAAAAGAUCUGAAGCAUGAAACGAAGGAAGCAGAAUCUUUUGGCUACUGAUCUUUCUUCAAAAGCUGAAGAAACCAAGAUGAAAAAAUUAGGACCCUCACUUUAAUUCAGUCUUUAUGUGACUUUAAGUACAAUACAUGUGUAUUCUACUGAGAAUAAUUACUACAGGGAGCUGGAUGAACCCGGGGCCACA